ACGUCUACAACAGUCUUCAAGAAAAUGCAGCCUGAGGUUGUUUAGAACGAUUACGUUUAAUUAGAGUGUCACUGUUACAGUCCACAACAAAGACAAACUGACCUGCAGGCGUUGGGUCCCAGCUUUCUACUUUUUUCUUCUAUUAUUACCAUGACAUUUGUUUAUAUAAAACAUCGGGAGGAUGAACGGUUCUUGGUCAACACUGACUGCUCCAUCAUUUGCCUGCUACAGCACUUGAGAUCCAAGCUAGGAAUAAAUGAGUCAGGAAUGCUGGAGAAUCAGUUAGGCAAUCUUGAGCAGACUCGGCGUAAACCACAUGCUUUGGAUGGCCAAAAAUCAUCAGUACAGACUAAGAAACAACCUUUCAGACCUCAAAAUCCAGUAAACAGAUGAGGUGCAUGGUCAUAGCUUCUUACAUUCCUACAUCCAAUAGAUUCCUUUACAGCAUGUAUUUGAUCAGAAUGCCCAUCAACUGCACAUAAAUGUCUCAGAUAUAUGUGAAAAUCAUUGCUUCUUUGAUCUCUGUUUAAUGAUCUCGUUACCCUGUCUGCCUCCUCUGACCAGUGUUGCUUUUCUGCCAUUUCUUUCCAGUUUUUGAAAUCAUGCAUGUAAGCAUUUGCACCAGAACAAAUUAUUACCCUAUAAUACUACACUUUAAUAUAAUGGGCCAUUUUGCAUGAAUCUUUCUGAUUCUGGUUGUAAACACUACAAAAUGUACAGAGCUUGGAAACUAACAAAUGUGUUUAAAUAUAAAUGUUUUAUAAAUAAAUUAUAGACAUUAUAGAUCAUAGAGAAUCAAAGAAUUAUAUUAAUAAUACAUAGAUUAUAUAUAUAUAUGUUACAUGAAUUAUAAUAUAUUAUAAUUAAUCAUAUUUUUUAUUUUGAGUGUUUGAGUGUUGCUGUUGCUGUCACUUCCAGUUUAGUAGUAUAAACUUUUUAGCAAUGAGUGAUAUGUUAUAAUAAAGGUUUUGAGAUGGCUGCCUACUGAUAAUGAAGAUAUAUUAGUAAGCAGUCCUGCAGAAGGCAAAUUGAGAAGUUGUGGCCCAGAUAUGACCGACAAAAAAUGAUGGAUGUACAGACAAAGUGAAAAAGCUGAGCAAUGUGGACAUUUUAUGAGCUGUAAGGGCUUAUUUGAAUGAUUUCCUAUUAGAAUUUUUAAGGGAUAAGAGAUUAAUUUAUAUCACUUAAAUGCUUUAUGUCUGCAGACCAGCUCCAGUCAUGUGAAAUAAAUAUAUUUAUUCAGUUAAUUACUGUCCAACUUGGUUUAUGUAUAAAUUGAGCUUAUGUCAGUAAUUAUAUUUUUCUCUAUCUUAAUGUGAUUGUCUAUGUAUUUGACUUAAGGCAUUUAGGAGUAGUAAAUUUCCUGUCGUUUACUACAUCUUCCAUCUCACUCUACAUCUAAGCAACCAGCAGACCUGCUUUGACAUUUAGUAACAGAUGAUGUCAUUGAACUCAGCCACACUCAGCUGUGAUUGGUUUAUAUGAAUACCUGUUUGUUAGCAUGAAUCACUCGGCUGGGAGAAAAUUGAUGAAACACUCAAGGCACGGGUUUAUAUUUAGAAAGGUAUAGACAAGGGUGUUGUGCCAACAUUUAUGCUUGUUUCCAUGUAGUUUUUUGCUUAAUUCUGCCAGCCUGAAUGAGUGACUGUAGGAGUAAAGUGUUAGGAAGGUAGCAACCUUUCAGAUAAACAGCCUUCAAGAAAUCAAAACCCACAUCUGAUUUCUUAUCUUUCUCUUUGCUGUCUGCUGUCUUCUUUCUUACACUCAUUAAUGUGGUUGUAAUUUUUGGUAAAAACUCCGUCCUGAGUGUGGGAGCAUUUUUGCAGCUCCAGACAUAUUUCUGCAACAUGUGGGUGGAAUGCAGCUGUGCAGCAAUGACUGAAAUGUCAGCAAGCCGUUUUGUUUUUUGCACCCAUGGCGAUUAGGCAGAACAGUUUUCCUCUGAUCUUGUAAACAGGUGGUUUAUUGUUCUGAAAUGUUGAAGGCUACAGUGUGGAAAGUCUAAGGGGUUAAGUGAUAAUGGACAUGUGUGGUAAGAUAUCAGCAGUAAGCUGGAGGUAGCACGACUGGUGAUGUGGUUAGAGAGCAACAACGUCUUUUAUAAUAAAGGAAGUGAAAAUUCAAAAAAGACUCCACUGCAAUUUUUUUUUCCAUAAUGACAGAAAAAACAUGGUCGUAUUGAAUCUUCUGCUACAUAUGAAUAUUGUCUUGAUAUUUACAAAUCAAAUUUGUACAUACAAGAAAAAGGAAGCUGCUUUUUAGGUUGAUUUCUGAAAAUGACCAGCAUUAGCACAUUAUAUUCGCUUCCUCAUUAAAUAUACAAUCUAACGUUGUUUUCAUGUGCAUGUGAGUUUCCUCUGGGUUCUCUAACAUUGGUGUACAGCAUUAGCUACACUAAAUUUCAGCUGGGUGUGAAUGAGUGGGUGAAUGUGUGUGAGCAUGGUGAUGGACAGGCAUUCCAACCACAGUGUAUUUCCACAUGCCCAGUCUACCUCUGACACGAUCUGGGACCCCUGUUAAUAAAGAUAAAAAACCAUUUACUUCUA